UACGAAGGGGGCUAGCGUUGCUCGGAAUCACUGGGCGUAAAGCGCACGUAGGCGGGUUGUUAAGUCGGGGGUGAAAUCCUGGAGCUCAACUCCAGAACUGCCUUCGAUACUGGCGACCUUGAGUCCGGGAGAGGUGAGUGGAACUCCGAGUGUAGAGGUGAAAUUCGUAGAUAUUCGGAAGAACACCAGUGGCUAAGGCGGCUCACUGGCCCGGUACUGACGCUGAGGUGCGAAAGCGUGGGGAGCAAACAGG
rnacentral:rRNA from 1 species